rnacentral:rRNA from 1 species
AUACAGAGGGUGCGAGCGUUAAUCGGAAUUACUGGGCGUAAAGCGCGCGUAGGCGGUCUAUUAAGUCAGAUGUGAAAUCUCAGGGCUCAACCUUGGAACUGCAUCUGAUACUGGUAGACUAGAGUUUUGGAGAGGGAAGUAGAAUUUCAGGUGUAGCGGUGAAAUGCAUAGAGAUCUGAAGGAAUACCAGUGGCGAAGGCGACUUCCUGGCCAAAAACUGACGCUGAGGUGCGAAAGCGUGGGUAGCAAACGGGAUUAGAAACCCCUGUAGUCC